rnacentral:rRNA from 1 species
GGACCCGCACAAGUAGUGGAGCAUGUGGUUUAAUUCGAAGAUACGCGCAGAACCUUACCAACACUUGACAUGUUCGUCGCGACUCUAAGAGAUUAGAGUUUUCGGUUCGGCCGGACGAAACACAGGUGCUGCAUGGCUGUCGUCAGCUCGUGUCGUGAGAUGUUGGGUUAAGUCCCGCAACGAGCGCAACCCUCACUUUUAGUUGCCAGCAGUUCGGCUGGGCACUCUAUGGAAACUGCCCGUGAUAAGCGGGAGGAAGGUGUGGAUGACGUCAAGUCCUCAUGGCCCUUACGGGUUGGGCUACACACGUGCUACAAUGGUAGUGACAAUGGGUUAAUCCCAAAAGCUAUCUCAGUUCGGAUUGUCGUCUGCAACUCGACGGCAUG